rnacentral:rRNA from 1 species
GACGAACGCUGGCGGCGUGCCUAAUACAUGCAAGUAGAACGCUGAAGAGAGGAGCUUGCUCUUCUUGGAAGAGUUGCGAACGGGUGAGUAACGCGUAGGUAACCUGCCUUGUAGCGGGGGAUAACUAUUGGAAACGAUAGCUAAUACCGCAUAACAAUGGAUGACCCAUGUCAUUUAUUUGAAAGGGGCAACUGCUCCACUACAAGAUGGACCUGCGUUGUAUUAGCUAGUAGGGGAGGUAACGGCUCACCUAGGCCACGAUACAUAGCCGACCUGAGAGGGUGAUCGGCCACACUGGGACUGAGACACGGCCCAGACUCCUACGGGAGGCAGCAGUAGGGAAUCUUCGGCAGUGGGGGCAACCCUGACCGAGCAACGCCGCGUGAGUGAAGAAGGUUUUCGGAUCGUAAAGCUCUGUUGUAAGUCAAGAACGAGUGUGAGAGUGGAAAGUUCACACUGUGACGGUAGCUUACCAGAAAGGGACGGCUAACUACGUGCCAGCAGCCGCGGUAA